GCGCGCGGCGGGGAAGGCGGCGCCGGGGCCAGGGUGCAGAGCAUUGUAGACCAAGGAGCCAUGGAUAGGAGAAGUAUGGGUGAAACAGAAAGUGGAGAUGCUUUCCUUGACCUGAAGAAGCCUCCUGCCUCCAAAUGCCCCCAUCGCUAUACAAAAGAAGAACUCUUGGAUAUAAAAGAACUCCCCCAUUCCAAACAGAGGCCUUCAUGCCUUUCUGAAAAAUAUGACAGUGAUGGUGUCUGGGACCCUGA
rnacentral:lncRNA from 1 species